GAGCGGGGAGGAGGCGGUGGCCGUGGUGCGGGCUCUGCAGCGAGCGCUCGAUGGAACCUCACCCCAGGGGAUGGUGACUUUCGAGGACAUGGCUGUGUCUCUAACCUGGGAGGAGUGGGAGCGCCUGGACCCAGCACGGAGGGACUUCUGCAGAGAGAGUGUGCAGAAGGAUUCCGGGAGCACAGUUCCGCCGAGUGAGUGCUGUUGCUCUGCUGGUUUAUUGCGGUGUGUGGUUUGUGAAGGGCUGGUUCACUACCAUCCCUGAGCCAUUAUGCUAUUCCCAGACUUGGGCUGAGAGUCUUCAGGUGCCUUCUGUAACGCAAGC
rnacentral:sRNA from 1 species